rnacentral:rRNA from 1 species
AGAGUUUGAUUCUGGCUCAGAACGAACGCUGGCAGCGUGGAUUAGGCAUGCAAGUCGAACGUGAAUCCGGUGAUCAAUCUUACGGGAGAGUGAACCGGUGGAAAGUGGCGGAAGGGUGAGUAACGCGUGGGUAAUCUGCCUCCGAGUUGGGGAUAACCAUUCGAAAGGAUGGCUGAUACCGAAUACGGUGGUGACGUGCGAACGACAUUGACUAAAGGUGGGGAUCCUUCGGGACCUGCCGCUUGGAGAGGGGCCCGCGUCCGAUCAGCUUGUUGGUGAGGUAACGGCUCACCAAGGCUACGACCGGUAGCUGGUCUGAGAGGAUGGUCAGCCACACUGGGACUGAGACACUGCCCAGACUCCUACGGGAGGCUGCAGUCGAGGAUCAUCGGCAAUGCGCGAAAGCGUGACCAUGCGACGCUGCGUGGGGGAUGAAGGCCUUCGGGUUGUAAACCCCUGUCAUCAGGGAAAAAUCACCCGGUCGUGAAUAUCGGCUGGGUUUGAUGGUACCUGAAGAGGAUGCCACGGCUAACUCUGUGCCAGCAGCCGCGGUAAUACAGAGGUGGCAAGCGUUGUUCGGAUUUACUGGGCGUAAAGGGUGCGUAGGUGGCACCGUGUGUCGGAUGUGAAAUCCCGUUGCUCAACGGCGGAACUGCAUUCGAAACUGCGGAGCUAGAGUACAGGAGGGGAGAGCGGAAUUCUUGGUGUAGCGGUGAAAUGUGUUGAUAUCAAGAAGAACACCGGUGGCGAAGGCGGCUCUCUGGAAUGUUACUGACACUGAGGCACGAAAGCUGGGGGAGCAAACAGGAUUAGAUACCCUGGUAGUCCCAGCCGUAAACGGUGUGCACUUGGUGUUGGCGGUAUUGAUCCCGCCAGUGCCGGAGCUAACGCGUUAAGUGCACCGCCUGGGGAGUACGGCCGCAAGGCUAAAACUCAAAGAAAUUGACGGGGGCCCGCACAAGCGGAGGAGCAUGUGGCUUAAUUCGAUGCAACGCGAAGAACCUUACCAGGGCUUGACAUGUAACUGCUGUCCCCCUGAAAGGGGGGAGUCCUUCGAGGGUGUUACACAGGUGCUGCAUGGCUGUCGUCAGUUCGUGCCGUGAGGUGUUGGGUUAAGUCCCGCAACGAACGCAACCCCUGUGGUUAGUUGCCCCCGCCGGUGAUGAGCCGGCGAGCACGCUAGCCAGACUGCCCGUACAAGCGGGAGGAAGGUGGGGACGACGUCAAGUCAGUAUGGCCCUUACGCCCUGGGCUGCACACGUGCUACAAUGGCCGGUACAAUGGGAAGCAAUACCGCGAGGUGGAGCAAAUCCCAAAGCCGGCCCCAGUUCGGAUUGGAGUCUGCAACUCAACUCCAUGAAGUCGGAUUCGCUAGUAACGGCGCAUCAGCUACGGCGCCGUGAAUACGUUCCCGGGCCUUGUACACACCGCCCGUCACAUCAUGAAAGCCGUCUGCACCCGAAGUCGCUGGGCCAACCCGCAAGGGAGGCAGGAGCCGAAGGUGUGGGUGGUGAUUGGGAUGAAGUCGUAACAAGGUA